rnacentral:rRNA from 1 species
UGGGGAAUAUUGCACAAUGGGCGCAAGCCUGAUGCAGCAACGCCGCGUGAACGAUGAAGGUCUUCGGAUCGUAAAGUUCUUUUGCAGGGGAAGAUAAUGCCGGUAUCAUAGGAGGAAGCCCCGGCUAAAUACGUGCCAGCAGCCGCGUUAAUACGUAUGGGGCGAGCGUUGUCCGGAACUAUUGGGCGUAAAGGGUACGUAGGCGGUCUAUUAAGUCAGGUGUGAAAGCGUGAGGCUUAACCUCAUUAAGCACUUGAAACUGAUAGACUUGAGUGAAGGAGAGGAAAGUGGAAAUCCUGGUGUAGCGGUGAAAUGCGUAGAUAUUAGGAGGAAUACCGGUGGCGAAGGCGACUUUCUGGACUUGUACUGACGCUAAGGUACGAAAGCGUGGGGAGCAAACAGG